rnacentral:rRNA from 1 species
AGCAGCCGCGGGAAUACAGAGGGUGCGAGCGUUAAUCGGAUUUACUGGGCGUAAAGCGUGCGUAGGCGGCUAAUUGAGUCGGAUGUGAAAUCCCCGAGCUUAACUUGGGAAUUGCAUUCGAUACUGGUUAGCUAGAGUGUGGGAGAGGAUGGUAGAAUUCCAGGUGUAGCGGUGAAAUGCGUAGAGAUCUGGAGGAAUACCGAUGGCGAAGGCAGCCAUCUGGCCUAACACUGACGCUGAGGUACGAAAGCAUGGGGAGCAAACAGGAUUAGAUACCCCCGUAGUCCCUGUCUCUUAUACA